rnacentral:rRNA from 1 species
UGGGGAAUAUUGCGCAAUGGUCGAAAGACUGACGCAGCGACGCCGCGUGUGGGAGGAAGCCCUUCGGGGUGUAAACCACUGUCGGGAGGGACGAAUCCCGGACGGGCAAAUAGCCCGGACGGUUGACGGUACCUUCAAAGGAAGCACCGGCUAACCCUGUGCCAGCAGCCGCGGUAAUACAGGGGGUGCAAGCGUUGUUCGGAAUUACUGGGCGUAAAGCGCGGGCAGGUGGCCUUUUAAGUCCUUUGUGAAAUCCCGGAGCUCAACUCCGGAUGUGCAUAGGAUACUGGAGGGCUUGAGACUGGUAGAGGCGAGCGGAAUUCCUGGUGUAGCGGUGGAAUGCGUAGAUAUCAGGAAGAACACCGGUGGCGAAGGCGGCUCGCUGGGCCAGAUCUGACACUCAGCCGCGAAAGCGUGGGGAGCAAACAGG